rnacentral:rRNA from 1 species
AUACGUAGGUGACAAGCGUUAUCCGGAUUUACUGGGCGUAAAGGGCGUGUAGGCGGUCUUGCAAGUCAGAAGUGAAAUUCCUGAGCUCAACUCGGGCGCUGCUUCUGAAACUGCAGGACUUGAGUGCUGGAGGGGAUAGCGGAAUUCCUAGUGGAGCGGUAAAAUGCGCAGAUAUUAGGAAGAACACCGGUGGCGAAGGCGGAGAACUGGGACAUAACUGACGCUGAGGCGCGAAAGCGGGGGGAGCAAAAAGGAUUGGAAACCCUGGUAGGCCACGCCGUAAACGAUGAAUACUAGGUGUAGGGGGUAUCGACUCCCUCUGUGCCGCAGUUAACACAAUAAGUAUUCCGCCUGGGGAGUACGGCCGCAAGGUUGAAACUCAAAUGAAUUGACGGGG